CGACGGUGGGAACCGGUCCCGUGGAUAGGGCGACGGUGCAGAACUGGACCCUUGGAUAAGAUACACCAAAGAUUCACAGCCUCUUCUGCUGGAUACCCCGGUCCAUUCCCUGCAGCCUGGUGACUCUGUUCUCGUGCGGACCUGAAAGGACAAGCCUCUCCAAGAGAAGUGGAAAGGACCCCACAUCGUCCUGCUUGUUUCCCACACAGCGGCAAAGGUCAAAGGACACAAGAACUGGUUUCAUCACGCUCGACUGAAAGCAGUACCCGCUCCUGAACAGUGGACUGUCCAGCCUGCUAAAAAAACUGCUAAUGACAAUUUGGGACUUAAGCUGUUAUUCAAAAGACAGAAGCACUCCUUCUGUUACCUAAUGUUUCAUCCACAUCGCAUGCAGGAUGGGAAGCCAUCCCUGCAAAUAUGGCUAUCAAUACCUAUGAGGCCCUGAAAAUUGCCUUUGCCCGUGAGUUCAAUCUCUCCAACUGUUGGAUAUGUGCCCAGACUCCCCACCAUUCAGCGGGAUUGCCCUGGAGAGUAGUUUCCCAAAAUUGGUCAGACUAUUGUCAAAGGCGAAUGGUUACCAGCAGUAGCACCUCUGACAAUUUAAGUUUGCAAUCUAACUGUACUGCAAAAGCUCCUUAUAGCCUACACAAUGGCUCUUGGAAUUCCCACUAUAGUAGCACUCUUAAGCCCCAGCCUAUUCGUUUACGUUCUCCACCCAUUGGUCUCAUAUGUUAUCAGCAAGCCAGUACAAGUAAUCAUACCUGGUUUGCAGGCAUUAGUAAGUGUAAAUUUUAUAUUGGUCCUGGUAUAAGGCUCACUGUUCCUUUACUAAAUGCCACCGGUUGGCAAACCGGUGCUGCAUUCUUUGCCCUUUCUCCACAAGCCACCCUACGGGACCUACAAGGUACCAAUAAAAAGGCUAGUUAUGGUAAAGCAUUCUGGGUAUAUGGUAAUAGUGCCUAUAAAUGGCUUCCUCGUGGUUGGCAUGGUACCUGUUACAAAGGCUAUCUCGCUCCUCCCCUCCAUGUUCUCACCAAGGCUCCCUCAGGUCGCCCUAGGUACUAUCGGUCCCUAAAAGCUACCAUUAAACCCAUUGGUAAAAAAGACAGGUUUGGAAUAAUAUCCCUCCCUUCCUAUGGGGUGGGACGGCUAACCCAACUCUACAGAAGACUGUCUACAUUUCUCACUCAGCUUGCCAAUGAUACCCUGGCCAUAAAAAAACGCAUAAGUGCUGAGCUGUACCAGCUUCGACUGCUGGCUUUGCAAAACCGCCAGGCCCUAAAUUGUGUUAGCUUCAAAAGUAUGUGCCCUUAUUAAAAAAAAAUGUUGUACCUAUGUCCCAAAGUUUUCACAAAAUAUUAACAAGUAUAUCUUGUCGGCCAAACAGGCCUUAAAUCAGUAAAAGGCCCAAAAGGGGAACCCAGUAUUUUAAAUUCCCUUUGGGGUUAAAAUACCUAGUUUAGGGAAACUAGGGGGACUAGGGAAAAGCAUUGUUCGCAUCUUGCUCACAGGUGUGGUAAUAUGUUUUGUCCUUUUCCUUUUGCUCAUUUGCUGUAAAGUGCUCAUAUGUAAAAUAUGUACCUCCCAUUCCCCAAAAGUCCCCUUAUACCCUCUCAUUAAUAAUCCUAAUUGCAUGAAGCUUAAUCGCAUUUUAUCUUUAAAGUAUAAAAAAACUCUAACAAAGAUUUGUUAAGUGUUCUCAAAAAAAAAUUGUUGGUGUCACUAGGCAUAGCUACCAGGUAACUCGAAAAAGUAAAAAGCCAAAAGUGCCAAUAAAGCUCUUCUGCUCUGGGCCUGAACCACAAAACUCCAUCUUGUGAACUCUCACUUACUUCUGUGCUAACUACUUACAUGCUAAAGCAAAAAUGUAAGGGUCAGCUUUUCUAGCAGACAGCUGUUUUGCUCACUCACAAACGCUGUAGUAAUAAAACAAGGAAAAACUGCUGUAAACAGGCCUUGCAAGGCCAAAAAAUAAGCAGGCAAAAAAAAGUUUCUAACAUGCACACUGUGUACCUGCUGUAACUGUUGUACUAAAAAAAAAAAAUAAACUAAACAGAGGCUUGCACAAAAACUGCUUAAAAUAUAAAAAAAAAUUGUUUGUAUUUGUUGCACUUAAUUUAAAACAUGGUGGUCUCCUCAUGCCUUUUCAAAGCUCUAAAAUAAACUUGGCUUGCUUUCUC